rnacentral:snRNA from 1 species
AUGAAUUUUUGAAAUGGCCGUUU